rnacentral:rRNA from 1 species
AAGAAAUAACAAUACAAGGCAGUUAAAAUGCUUUGUAAUUGGAAUGAUAGAAAUUUAAACACUUUUUAAAGUAUCAAUUGGAGGGCAAGUCUGGUGCCAGCAGCCGCGGUAAUUCCAGCUCCAAUAGCGUAUAUUAAAAUUGUUGCAGUUAAAAAGCUCGUAGUUGAAUUUCUGCUAAAAAUAACCGGUCUGCUUUWAAUAAAGGUGGUAUCUUGGUGUGUUUUUAGCAAUAAUGUCCUUUGAAAUGUUUUUUACUUCAUUGUAAUAAAUUAUAUUCAGGAUUUUUACUUUGAGAAAAUUAGAGUGUUUCUAGCAGGCUAACGCUUUGAAUACUGCAGCAUGGAAUAAUAARAUAGGAUUUUGGUUCUACAUUAUUGGUUUUAAGAGCUAAAUUAAUGAUUGAUAGGGACAGUUGGGGGCAUUUGUAUUUAACUGUCAGAGGUGAAAUUCUUAGAUUUGUUAAAGACAAACUACUGCGAAAGCAUUUGCCAAAGAUGUUUUCAUUAAUCAAGAACGAAAGUUAGGGGAAUCGAAGAA